GACUCGGUGGCGGAUGGUCCGUGUCCACAACUCUUAUGGUAGAGAAGAAGUCGUUGCCUGUGGAAGUCGCCUGUUCGACUCAGGCCCGAGUCA